rnacentral:tRNA from 1 species
CAAAAAAUAGCUUAUUAAAGCACCUAGCUUACAACUAGGAGAUGUCUAAUUUACUAAGACUUUUUUGC